GGUUCCUACAGAGUCUAGUAAAAUGGCGUUAAAAAUAUUCGAACAACUCAAAAGAAUGAGUCCGAAGGAACAACCUUCAGGAUCCAAGCUAGCUGGGACUGGAACUACUGAGAACGUAGACUCGCUAAUAGGUUUAUCAAGCUCUCAAGAUAAGCAGAAAUCAGAGGGUAAAGGUAAACAUCGCGUGUUGUUUUCGGAUGCUCGUGAGCCAAAGCAAAGACACUGUUGAAGAAAAUGGUUCAAAAAAUAUUGUUUCCGUUGAUGGAAAUGUUAAAGUGCCAGUUGAAACAAAAGCUGGGUCUGCAACGAAACGAGCUUUUUCAAUGAGUGCUCAUGAGGAUACUCUGGAUCUAGAUGAUGACAACCAUUCUAACGGGCAUGCAAAUAUCUCAGUCGGUGUAAAUAAGAAGCUGGGGGCAUCUGUGUUAGCAAACAACGGCGUUUUGCACUACCUGAGUCCAAAAAAGGUGCCAUAUCUCCUGGUAGUUCUGUUGUUAAUAACCAGAAGAUCGGUUUUUACGUACCUGCUUUGACUUCGUCGAGCAGUACUCAGUCAACAGUGCUUUCUCAACCAACCUUCGUAGUUGAUACAGUUAAAGUUACUCCUCCGAAUAAACCUACAGUUUUCCCAACUUUUGGAAAGGUUAAAGCAAAUGUUAGUCCUGACGCGAAACCACUUGGCGCAACCAGCUUUAUUAAUUCAACCAUGAAUAAAACAGUCAGAAGCCGGAAA